rnacentral:lncRNA from 1 species
GGCUCUGUGCCGACAGCUCAGACCCUGGAGCCUGCUUCGGAUUCUGUGCCUCCCUCUCUCUCUGUCCCUCCCCCGCUCACGCUCUGUCUCUCUCUUUCUCAAAAAUAAACAUUAAAAAAAAUUUUUUAAUAAAAAAAAAGAAAUCAUUAAAAACAUUUUAAGCACAAUGAUGGAAUCUGGUUUUGUGUUUAAAUGCAUCCUGACAUAUUAAUAGAUGAGAGGACAAGACAUCAGUAUUACAGCUUUUGGAGCUUGUCCUAAACAAGGCCACGAAAAGAGGAUUAAGAGCCCCUACAGCUUUUUGCUCUUCAGUUUGGGAAUUGCCUUAUGUCCUGCUCCCUUUUCCUUCCCUGCGUGAUUUUCACAGCUUGGAUCUUACUUGGCCUUCUACCUGAUUCCCUCUUUGGUGCUGAAUCCAGGUGGGUUUGGUUAAACUCUGGUGCUUCCUUGGCAUGUUGUUUCCAGUAUGGACUCCUACAUGUCUACACACACCACGACCACAGGUCCCAUGGUUGGUGGCACAACUGAUUAUUCAAGUUCCAGAGAAUAUCUCAAACAUAACCAACACAGGUAAGUCUCUGUGUGGUAAAUGUUUUUCUUUUUUCCACAUGAGGGCACUUUGACUUCAGUGGCAAACAUGACA